rnacentral:rRNA from 1 species
GUAGGUGGCAAGCGUUGUCCGGGAAUUAUUGGGGCGUAAAGCGCUCGCAGGCGGUUCUUUAAGUCUGAUGUGAAAGCCCACGGGCUCAACCGUGGAGGGUCAUUGGAAACUGGAGAACUUGAGUACAGAAGAGGAAAGCGGAAUUCCACGUGUAGCGGUGAAAUGCGUAGAGAUGUGGAGGAACACCAGUGGCGAAGGCGGCUUUCUGGUCUGUAACUGACGCUGAGGCGCGAGAGCGUGGGGAGCAAACAGGAUUAGAUACCCUGGUAGUCCACGCCGUAAACGAUGAGUGCUAAGUGUUAGGGGGUUUCCGCCCCUUAGUGCUGCAGCUAACGCAUUAAGCACUCCGCCUGGGGAGUACGGCCGCAAAGGCUG